UUUCUCUGGGUGUCGGGUUUCUGUUUCUGCCCGCGGGGCUGGCUGGAAACCAUUCUCGGCCCACGUUCUUCCAGCGGGACAAACAGCUGGGCUGAUUUGGGGUUUGGAAGCCUUGUUGCUUGGCUGUGACAUGGGGUCCUCCGUUCCCAGCAUUUGGGUCGGAAUGGAUUUUGUGAUUUUCCUUUAGGUCCACAGACACAAAAGAAAUGUCUGUCAUUUCUUCACGAUCCCACGCUAUGCGAAAGUGCUCCCUGACAGGGUUUCAGUGUUAUGGGGGGGCAGGGAAGAGGUUGGGGGUGCAUGUAGGCAGGGCAUCAAUAUAGAAACACAGGAGGGUGACUGCUUGCUGGAUGUGAACAUCUUUCUGGUCUAAAAACAGGUCCUUCAGUGUUUGUUUGUUUCAGCUAAUUCCAACAAAAGCCUCUAAAUCACCUUUUUUUUUUUUUUAAAGAUUUUGUUUUUUAUUUUACAGAGAGAGAACAUAAGCAGGGGAAGCAGCAGAGAGAGGAGGAGAAGCAGGCUCCCCACUGAGCAGGGAGCCCAACCUGGGGCUUCAUCCCAGGACCCUGGGAUCAUGAGCUGAGCAGAAGGCAGACACUCAGCUGCAUGAGCUACCCAAGCGCCCCUCCGGCUCAUCUUUGUGAUGGACAGUGAGGCUUCCCUCCUGAGGAGGAGGGCCACUUAGGUCCUUGAAACAAGCCAGACUCGGGUCUUUCGAAGUGUAGAUUUUGGACUGACUACUCUCCGGCAUCGGGCUCCUGGGUGCCCCUGGGAUUUGGGUGGCAGCGGUGCCUUUGCCAAGGACGCAGCAAGGCAGAGUCACUGGAACAGAAGCUUGUCUAUCUCAUGCAACACAGCACCUGCUGCAGGACUGCGGAGAUGACGGUAUAGUGUCUAGUUUCUUGUUCUAUAACCUUCUCUCCUGUGGUCCAAGCUGGUGGCCCCAACUUCCCCUGCCAAAUCUGCAGCCCAGACAGUGGGAGGAAAUGAUGGGCUCUGAAUCUCAGAGUCAGAAAAUGGAUGCUGGAGCAUCUAAGAAAGAAGGAGGCAGCUCCUGCAAUCCUAGGCGUGGGAUCGUGGCCUUCAGCAGCUGGGGGACGCUGACCUUGGGUGGGUGACAACACUAGAUGUCUCCUCCUUCUGAGUUGCUCUGAUUUUUAGAAUGAAUGCAUUAGUUGAAUCUACAUGCUUGUUGUAAAA
rnacentral:lncRNA from 1 species